rnacentral:rRNA from 1 species
CACGUAGGGCGCGAGCGUUGUCCGGAAUUAUUGGGCGUAAAGGGCUCGUAGGCGGUCUGUCGCGUCGAAAGUGAAAACUCAGGGCUUAACCCUGAGCCUGCUUCCGAUACGGGCAGACUAGAGGUAUGCAGGGGAGAACGGAAUUCCUGGUGUAGCGGUGAAAUGCGCAGAUAUCAGGAGGAACACCGGUGGCGAAGGCGGUUCUCUGGGCAUUACCUGACGCUGAGGAGCGAAAGUGUGGGGAGCGAACAGG